rnacentral:rRNA from 1 species
CAGUAGCCACGGUAAUACGUAGGUGGCAAGCGUUGUCCGGAAUUAUUGGGCGUAAAGGGCUCGCAGGCGGUUUCUUAAGCCUGAUGUGAAAGCCCCCGGCUCAACCGGGGAGGGUCAUUGGAAACUGGGAAACUUGAGUGCAGAAGAGGAGAGUGGAAUUCCACGUGUAGCGGUGAAAUGCGUAGAGAUGUGGAGGAACACCAGUGGCGAAGGCGACUCUCUGGUCUGUAACUGACGCUGAGGAGCGAAAGCGUGGGGAGCGAACAGGAUUAGAUACCCCCGUAGUCCCUGUCUCUUAUAC